GACGAACGCUGGCGGCGUGCCUAAUACAUGCAAGUUGAGCGCUGAAGGUUGGUACUUGUACCGACUGGAUGAGCAGCGAACGGGUGAGUAACGCGUGGGGAAUCUGCCUUUGAGCGGGGACAACAUUUGGAAACGAAUGCUAAUACCGCAUAAAAACUUUAAACACAAGUUUUAAGUUUGAAAGAUGCAAUUGCAUCACUCAAAGAUGAUCCCGCGUUGUAUUAGCUAGUUGGUGAGGUAAAGGCUCACCAAGGCGAUGAUACAUAGCCGACCUGAGAGGGUGAUCGGCCACAUUGGGACUGAGACACGGCCCAAACUCCUACGGGAGGCAGCAGUAGGGAAUCUUCGGCAAUGGACGAAAGUCUGACCGAGCAACGCCGCGGGAGUGAAGAAGGGUUUCGGAUCGUAAAACUCGGUUGGUAGAGAAGAACGUUGGUGAGAGUGGAAAGCUCAUCAAGUGACGGUAACUACCCAGAAAGGGACGGCUAACUACGUG
rnacentral:rRNA from 1 species